CUCAGCCCUGGGGGCAGGAGCCAAGAGACCUGCUUUUGUUGGCUUGGGGCUGCUGGCCCGUGAAGCCUGGGGGCCCAUUCUCUCUUCCCCCCAAAACAUGGGCCGUCUGCACUGGUUAUAAGUGCGAGGAGAGGAAGGUGGGGAAAUAGCACUUUCUGUAAAAAUGACCACAGCUCUGGGUGGGAGGAAGGAGGGGGAAGCAGAAGGAAGGAGGGCUUUUCAGAAAUGCGUUUCCUUAAGCAGCCAGAAUAAAAAAUGCGACCGAAACCAUUCUCUAAAACUCCUCAACCACUUGGGCAUCUGCUUAACCCGGAGAAGAAAGCCUGCUCCAGACCUGGCCAGCAAUCGGGGUAGGACCCGUCCCAGGUCAGCCCUCUGCCAAGAGCGCCUGCUUACCCCGGCUUGCUCCCUGCAUGGCCAUUCAUCAUGUGACAGCCAGGGAUGAGGAAAACCGCUGGAAAGUACCCCCAGGACAGUGUGGAAAGAGCAAGCUCGGCGGAGGAGCUGAGCAAGAGCUGGUGAUGAGAAAACGCCCCGCAGGUGGGGGUGGCCGGCCCAGCCCUCUGUAAGCCGAGCGCCACCUCCCUUUGAAACCCUGAAACAUUUCCUCUGGCGCUGCGUAGACCGGCUGGUGUGGCCCACCCCUCCUGUCUGUCUCAGCCCCUGGGUAAACUGCCAGGCCGGACCGCAAGGUACCCGUGCGCGUGAGGCUCCUGCACCAGACGGCCAAGCACACACUGGGGAUUGAACCUGGGGCCUCAUGCGUGCCAGGCAAGUGAUUUACCACCGAGCUACACCGCCAGCCUUAAAAUGUACCUUUGGAAACAACCUCCCUGAUCUCCGUGAGUAGGAGGUCUAAAGGAAGCAGAACCCGAAAGCUGAUAAGAAGGCCGUGUGCUCUCUCUUUUGGAACCCAAGGCAAGUUCACACCCCUGCAGGCCUGGUCGGGUGCAGGAAGCCCCACUCUGCUUCAUCUCCACCUGCAGUGAAGGCCAGGCCGUUACUCCACCCUGAUCUUCAAGCUGUCUUCGAAUGGUCUCUGAGCCUGCCCUGCCCUCUGCGAAACCCUCUCCAACGAGCAGACUCUUCACAAGGACCAACAAGCUGGUGCUGAUGGUGACUGAGCAGAAAGUCAAGAGGAGCCUGGGACCUGAUAACAUUUGAGUUACCCUCCCAAGCCCAUACUGCCUGAUUCUGGGCUUCUCCAGUCAUGAAAGAAGCUGAUUUUGUUCAGCCACUUGUAUUAAAGAUAGUUCUUGUAAUGUAUAAAGCCGCUCCCCCGCCCACCAGGUACAGCCAUUUUGCCCGCCUCCCAACCACUUGUCAAUCUGCGCUCUGCCCGCCUCUUACG